GACGAACGCUGGCGGCGUGCUUAACACAUGCAAGUCGAGCGGUAAGGCCCUUUCGAGGGUACACGAGCGGCGAACGGGUGAGUAACACGUGGGUGACCUGCCCUCAGCUCUGGGAUAAGCCCGGGAAACUGGGUCUAAUACUGGAUAUGACUCCAUGACGCAUGUUGUGGGGUGGAAAGCCUUGUGCGGCUGGGGAUGGGCCCGCGGCCUAUCAGCUUGUUGGUGGGGNGAUGGCCUACCAAGGCGACGACGGGUAGCCGGCCUGAGAGGGCGACCGGCCACACUGGGACUGAGACACGGCCCAGACUCCUACGGGAGGCAGCAGUGGGGAAUCUUGCGCAAUGGGCGAAAGCCUGACGCAGCGACGCCGCGUGAGGGAUGACGGCCUG
rnacentral:rRNA from 1 species